UUUUUUUUUUUUGGGGGGGGGGGGUGUUUUUCCCCAGCGCUUUUAUUAAUCACGUUGAUGCAUUUCCCCUUUGAUUUACAAGUGCGUGCGUGCGGCGUUUAUUUAUUCCCAGUCAAAUGGUCUCUGAAUCCUUCUUAACAAGAAGCGCUAGGACUGGAAACGAGACAACGCACAGCGCUGUUCAUUGAAAUACAUUAGUAAAACAGACAGAGGGAUGGACGAAUGAAUGACCUUUCCUGUUGCAUCUCCGUGGAAACGUGUCGGCAGGGCGCUGCGUCAUCGAGAACUAACGUCUAAAAAGAAAUAACCCAUCAUCCUGAAUUCGAUGGUGGCUUUCCAGCCUUCGCAGAAUCGACUACUCCCGAUGAGACAGCGGGCCUUGAUGACAGUCCAGUUUGUAUGAGCUCACACAGGCUCGCAUCUCCCUCGACACAUGCUUGACAGACUGUUUCAAUGAGGGAGCCCGUGGCUGGCUCUGCUCAUACUUGAAGCCCACACGUCCUCCACAUCAGGGAGCGCAAUGCUUUCUUUACUGGGCAGUGCCUUUCCUCGCACUGGUUUUAUGAAGUGUCCAAAACGACAGCCAUUUUUCCAUAGUUAAUGUAUGAAAGGGUUAAUGACACUGUGAGCGUGGGGCCGGUGAAUAGCGGACCUCGGAUGGGCAUUAAGAAAAAAUGAUUAAAAACAUGCUUUUAAAACCCUGGUUAAUUAAACGAAUGUUACAAUACAUUAAAUACAAACCAAAUACAUAUUGUGCUGACGGGGCUCUGAACUGUUACUGUUUUGACUAGCUAACCCCGCUUACCUGCCUCGCAUGCCCGUCGCAUUAGAGAACGGUCGUUAUUCGUUUGGAAACGGUGAAUUAUGCAAUCGUGUCGUUCGUACCUGAUUUAUUGAAAUAAUGGAAGCUGUGUGUGUGUGUUACCUGCCCUGAGCACACAGAAACGGAGUAACUAACGGCGCUGUCUAGUUUAUUCAAACUCCUCCUUCCUGUUAUUUAGCAGCGGCACCAAACAGCUCAGUACAAACCUGUCAGCGCGUUUGAAAUACGCAUUAAAACCAAACAAAGCUCUUGAGAUAGAGAGACGCUGUGAGCAGGAACGGGCAGAGAGACGCACGGGACCGAUAUGGAGGCGCUGUCAGGACCGUGUAACCAUUCCAAACAGCUUUGUUUCAAUGCAGUCCGAAAAGAAGGAGAAUAAAUUCGAAAAACAAGUUCGCAAACAGCGAAGAAACUCCCACAAUAUGCUGUAAAAAAAAAAAAAAAAAAAAAAAAAGAUUUGUGGAAGACGAUUUGUUUGUGCAGAUCACUGAAAUUCGAUUUUAUUUUCUCCAGUACUUUUAAAAGUUUAUAUAAGAAGAAAAAGGACGGCUCUUUUUGAGCGCAUAUUUUAAAAGUUUGCACGCGUUGGCUUUUUAUUGAUGUAUUUGCCUGAACUCUGACAGAGGAGACGCGUGUGUAUUUUGCAUGUAAGGACUUUUUAAUCAUGCCAAAAAAACAAAGACUACAAACAAACACAAACGCACCGCUCUAUACGCGUGUUUACUGCCACCUCCACUAAAGGGUAUUUUCUCCACUAUCCUCGCCGAUCCUGUGUGUGGAUGCUACAGGAAAAGGGCUACAGUAAAGACGAGGAGAGCUGUCUAAAACCUGCUGCUGGUCUGGACAGUGUUUGUUUGCAUAUGCAAUGCCACUUAUCAAAGUCGCUGCAAACAUCGAACCUUAAACACUCUUGACCGAUGUGAGCGCUCUCUCCCCCUGCUGCCGCGCUGUGAUUCGGAGGUGCCGGUCAUGGUGUUGGAGUGGUGUGGCGUGCUGAGGGGGCUCCUCUCCCAGGAUCCCGGGCAGGUUAUGGGCGUGGUGGAGGCGCUGGUGUGGGAGCUGCACCAGGACAAGGAGGGACUGAUAGAAAGUAUGCUGCGAGACCCCAGCAGCCAGGACUACAUGCGGGCUCUGUGCUGCUUACUGACGUCCACAGAAACACGGCUGUGCAGCAACGUGGCCUACAUCCUGGGCUCCAUUGCGGAGAGCGAGACUGGGACCCAGCAGCUGGUGUCACUGGGAGGGGCCGGGGACCUGCUGGGAACGCUGACCGCACUGCUGAGCUGGGACGAUGCCGAGGCGGUGAUGAACGCAGCUGGCACCAUCGGCACCCUGGCGGAGAGCAGCGAGGGGCGGCGGUGGAUCCUGGGGGAGCGUGGCUUCGUGGAGAUGGUAGACAGCGUGACCGCCCUGCUGGACGCGAGGAGCGAGUGGACGGUCAGCAACGCCGCCCUGGUGCUGGCUCGCCUCUCGAUGUGCGAGUCGGGGUGCCGCAGGCUCCUGGAGCACCCCAGCUCCUCCAGGAUAAUCUCCAAGCUCAUCGGCUCGCUCAGUGGGGACGAGGCAGGGUGUGGGAUGAACGCUGCCUUCGCUCUGGGCCGGCUGUGCGACACGGACUCUGGGCUCCAGCGGAUACUCAGCAUGGCAGAGGCCCCGGGCAUGGUUGUCUCUCUGGGAGCCAUGCUGGCUCAGCCUGACACUGGAGGCAGUAAGAACGCCUGCUUCGCUCUGAGUUGCCUGGCAACGGAAGCGGAAGGCCACGCCCACGUCCUGCAGAGCCCUGCCUUCCCCCAGCUGCUGAACUCGCUCUACCGCCUCCUGCAGGCGGAGGACCAAGACAGCGCCUGGUUUGCUGCAAUGACAGUGAAGGUUCUGGCUUCCCAGCCCAGCGGAGUCCUGAAUCUGAGAGAGCACAGGAAACUAGAGGAGCUCUUAAAGUCUCUGGUGUGCUCCAAGACAGCAGGGAAGGAGCUGCUGGAGGAAGUGAGCCUCACUCUGACCAAGCUGCAGCGCCUCCCCAAACCCCUUCCCCCGCGGACGGAGCGCCUGGAUUCGGGUUCUGUCCUGGUCUCCUGGGAGACAUGCACCCCCGGGAGCGGCCUGGAGGUCACCUACAGUCUCUUCGACGGAUCCUGCCUGUUGUACUCGGGGCUCCAGUCUUGCUUCACCCUGACGGAGAUCCCACCUGGUCAGGCGUUCCUCUUCAGGCUCCGCCUCUCCACGCUGGGGGGCGACACCAGCCCCUACAGUGAAGCCGUCCGAUGGGCUGUGCAGAAGGAGGCAUCUCUGCCCGGCAGUCCUCAGGAUCUGCGUGUGAUUGGCUGCACCCAGACGCAGGUGAAGCUGAGCUGGGCUCCCCCGGCCGAUCCGCAGGGUCCCCUGAAGGGUUACCAGCUCUUCAGGGGAGAGACCCCACUGGACACCACCACGGAGCUCAGCUGCAUCGCGGGCGGACUCUCCCCCUCCUCCCUGUACGAGUUUGGGGUGUGUGCCCUGGGGUCCACGGGGAGGGGUGCCAUGGCACGGGUCGAGGUCAGGACAGCAGACCCAGGGGACCACGCGCCCAGCAAGCUGGCGGUCACCGUCCUGGGGCGCCACGAGAUUUCCGUGAGCUGGGAUAUCCCCGAGGUGCCGCUGGGCCGGCUGUUUAACUUUGAGCUGUGCAUCAACGGGAGAGUGGUGUACCUGGGCACGGAGAGGAGCUACACCGCACGCAGGCUGGCAGCCAACACCGAGUACACCUGCACCGUCAGUGUCAUCACCAGCGAGGGGCGCUGUGAGAGCCGGCCGGUCACCAAGAGGACCGCCAGGGACGAGUACGAGAACACCGCCAAGUGCCUCUACUCUCCAGCGCGAGCCAGCCAGCAGCAGCAGCCCCCUCUCGCCCCCCCAACGAAGGAGCUCCCGGACUGCAGGACCGAACCAAAAAGCCCCGAGGCACGGGAGCCCCCCACAAGGAGCCCCCCAGAGCUCCAAAAGCACACCUGGCCCUGAGUAAGGGGUGCUGCAAAGUGUGGGACAGCGACAGCACCGGGGGGGUCGGGGCCAGGCACAGGAGACCCUCGACUCGGUCACAGCGCAAAGAUGGGAGUGAAUCAUCCGCUCAGUCUGUGGAGG